rnacentral:SRP_RNA from 1 species
GCCGGGUGUGGUGGCUGCGCCUGUAGUGCCAGCUACUUGGGAGGCUGAAGCUGGAGGAUAACUUUGCCCAGGAGUUCUGGGCUAUAGUGCGCUAUGCCGAUCGGGUGUCCACACUAAGUUCGGCAUCAAUAUGGUGACCUCCCAGGAGAUGGUGGCCACCAGGUUGCCUAAGGAGGGUUAAACAGGCCCAGAUCGGAAACGGAGCAGGUCAAAACUCCCAUGCUGAUCCACCACUGAUACCAUCAUAUCAUAGGGCCUACCCGCUCAUACAGCACAAGCCUGUACCUGCUGCAGAAGCUUUUC